rnacentral:rRNA from 1 species
AUGGUCGAUGUAGUGGCGAUCAUCCUAGUGCGAGGGGUUCAACCACUUCAAUAUAGAGGGCUCUCGAUGUGGCUCUACAACGGGGAGGACGACGCCUCCCGCUGUGGUCAGAAAGGUCCGGACAUCCUUGCCGCUCUAGCCAAGAUACUGGCCGAGCUGUUCAAAGGGGAGGAAGAGGAGUUUCUUCACAUCAAUCACAGAGAUGGAUAUUCUAUGUAUAAUCCUCCUAGUUGGCAUUGGCGAAAAAUCACCGAGGGGUUUCACAGCCCCGCCCCACAGCCUGAGAACCACAACCAGGAGCUGGAUCCUGGGUUCGAAGAAGAUCCAGAUAUAUUUGUGGUACUCGCGGAAGGGGUGUUUUACCAGGCGAGCUAUGAUGGCACGGAAGUGGCCAUUAUCGCCGAUUACCCUGGUCUUCUUCCUGCUUCCCACGGGAGGCGUUCAGCGCGUCACGCUACUCCGGGGGCGGCUCCAAAAAGAGCGGCUCUGGCGCCGAGCAAGGCUUCCAAAAGGAAGGUCAGUGAAGACACGACCGGCCCCCCGUCAAAGAGGAAGAAGGUUCACCGGACUAAGCCCGAGGGUCCGGCCAGCCGUGCUCCCAGCGCCUGGGUUUUAGACCCCGUUGUAGAGGCGGAAGCCGAUAUAGGAACCGUGUCGAACUGUCCUUCGGCCGAGGGUUCGGAGGAUAUGUCCGUUACCAACUCGGAAGUGGAGAGCGCCAUGAAUAAUCGGCGCUGUAGGGCUAUUUUACGAGACCCAGAGUUCUCAGAAGAGGCAUUCCAUGCCUUCAGUUUGGCUGAUGCGUACAUCCGAGCUGCUCGAAACGGGCUUAGUAGAGCCACCAAGUAG